rnacentral:lncRNA from 1 species
CAGAGACUCUGGCUCCAGUGGAGACCUUAUUGGGUGCUCACUUGCAGAUUGCUGCAUAACAUGGUGUAGGGCUGCAAGGGAAGGCUGCUAGAAGGGCCAUGUGCCAAAGAGCAGAAAAUGUGCUGUAGAAGACUGCGGAGCAGAGCAAGAGGAAAGGAUGAGGGGAGAGAAGGAUAUAAGGGAUGAGAAGGAAAGCACUCAAGCAAACAGCAUGAAAUAGAAGAUGUUCACAUUUAAGAGAUCUACCUUGAAGUCUGCCAAACUGAAUGGGGUAUUUUCCUGGAGGCGCCUUGUGAAUGAUGUAGACAGUUCAGCAAAAAAAAGCAACACAAAGCAGGAGCAAGUCAUAAUUGUUUUAUGUCUGCACUUCCCUGGCCCCUGUGUGAAUGAAGUUUGUACCAGGAAGCUGUGUCAGCAAAGGAAAAAACUGAUGUGACUGCAGCUCAUCUUUACCAAGCCUAUUGUAAAUUCUGGUAAUAGCAGCGUUAGGAUUUCAGAUACUCAUUUUAAAGGCAUGAAGAACAACUGCUCUCCCCAUUCUGUCCCUUUCCUUAUCUAACUGGAAGAUUCAGAUUCUCAGCUGAUAUAAACUGUUGCAGCAUCACAGAUAUGAGUGAAAUGUUUACUCCAUCUGAGUAUCUGAUUCACAGGCACUGAGUAAAGAACAAGAGAAAAAAGUUACCUCAUAGCACACUGGAAUAUUCAGAAUUUGCUGAUUUCAGCAGUCUAGCUGAAAGAGCAGAGAGAGUUAAGAGAGAGCAAAUAAUAUAAGCCAUUGCUUAAAUUUACAGUCACACAAAGUAGGGAAUUCUACCUAGAGACUCCAAACAUUGUUAAAAAAUAAAAACUCACUCUGCAAAGACGACUAUAUUAAA